GGGGCGCUGCCCCCAUCAAGAUUUUGUGAAAAAGGUAUUGACACAGUAAACAUAAAUAUGUAUUUAAAGUAAUUAACACAUCUGCACAGUGUUCACUCAUACAAUGGGUCUCAUUUUAUUUUUUAAGCCUUUCCCUUACAUACUGGGGUUUUUUUUCCGGGCGUGUUUUACACAUUUCAAUAGCGAGGGACGACUGCCAAAUGAGCGUGCAUGUACAUUCUAAAACUUUUGGCUGUUAUGUGACUUGGUCUCUAAUUGGUUACUGAAAGAUUGUCCUCCGGGCGCAGCUCUCUGUGUCCCUGGCGAAUCAGCGCGUUUGGGUCGCCAUUUUUCAUCUGAUCUGAUUGAUUCAUGAUACCUGUCAGUCAAAUUCAGCGUACACAGACACAUACGGAGAGAGACAGACAGACCUCAACAACAAGACAGAAGAUGAUGGCAGCAGCAAAAGAAAAAUCAGUUGUUUCUUUAUGAAAUAGUCCUAUUAUGAGGCGUUCGCUGGAGGAAAUAAAAAAAGGAUAAAGGAGCUAGGACCUGAGCAACCUGGCUUACAAAUCAAGCAGCAGGCAAGUGACCGUGGACGGAGUUACACCCGGGGCUUCUCCGGCCUGUGUUAUGCUAAACACAGCUGGCUAGCUGGAUGUGAGGUUAGCAAUGCUCUGUAUUGCUUUCCCUGCUUGCUUUUUCAAAGUCUUGGCACUGAAGUUCUGUGGACAACAACGGGGGUCAGAGACCUGAAACAUCUCUCCGAAAAAUGCAAACGGCAUGAAGGUAGCCGUAGCCACCUUGACAACAGCAUGAAGCUACAGUUUUUUGGCCGUGUAAGCAUUGCUGAACAACUAGAUGAGGGCACAAUGAAGAGGCGACAGAAAAAUCAUCACAUACUGUCCAGGAUAAUAGACUGUGUGAAAUUUUGUGGGGCCUUUGAGUUGGCUUUACGUGGCCAUGAUGAUAGUGAGAGCUCUCUGAACCCUGGGAUAUUUCGUGGGUUUGUGAAUUUUGUUGCCUCUCUGGAUGGAGCUUUGAAAGAGCACCUUGAAACUGCCACUGUUUUUAAGGGUACUUCAAAAACGGUCCAAAAUGAGCUCCUGGACUGUAUGUUGUCUGUUGCAAGGGAGCGAAUAUAAAGAAGCCCAAAAGAGUGUUUUGUGUCAAUCCAGGCAGAUGAGACAACAGAUAUUUCAACACAGUCACAACUUGUGCUUGUACUACGCUACAUUGAUGACAAACACAGUGUGCAGGAAAGAUGUUUUGAAUUCAUUCCUCUGCAGUCAGCUACGUCUGAGUCCAUUGCUGCUGCAUUAACAGAGCGUCUUGCUGCCAUCAUUCCUGAGGAACAGAAAAGCUAAUCUGCCAGGCGUCUGAUGGAGCCAGUGUGAUGAGGGGUGCCACUGCAGGUGUUAAGAGGGAAAUCAAAGAGAGGCAGGAGCUCUGGCCAUGCUGCUGGAACAUCAGGACUUUAAGUUCUUUCUGGAACUUCUUCACCACAUCAUGCCACAUGUGGACCUCCUCUAUGCCAAGCUCCAGAAGAAGAACAUAGAUGCAGUCCAUAUAAAAGUGAGCAUCCAGUAGUUUGAACAGGACAACGAAAACAUCAGAAAUUCUCUCCAUUCCAUUUGUGAGCAAAGAAGUGGCUCUCCGACAGCAAAGAGGCGUCAGGCACUCAGUUCAGAGCGUCGUCAAAGGGUUGCAGAAGAGAUCUGCAACACCAUUCUCGGACACACCAAGGAGCGCUUCUCCUUCACCAACCAUCUCGUCUGUGCAACCUUGUUGCAAGGGGACAGGUUUGAAGAAUCUCACGGGUCAUUUCCUGAAGAGGCACUGCAAUGCACUUUGAAAGCCUACCCGAUGCUGAAUGAAGAAAGCUGAAGACAGAACUCGGUCUCAUCUACAGCAAAGUAGAGUUCAGAGCCUGCUGUGGUGUAGUGGACCUAUUUCAGCUGUUCAUGGAGAACAAUCUUGAAGUUGUCUUUUCAGAAACUGUCAAUCCUUUAAGUAUCCUGAUCACCACACACCACAGCUGAAGCAGGGAAGUGUUUCUCAACCUUGAAAAGAGUGAAAACUUUUCUCAGAAACACCAUGACUGUCACUGGUGCGGGAUGGAAAGACCCAUGCGCAGGCAGCCAGGUGGAGUUCAAACAGCUCUUUAUUGCGGGGACAGGAAUGGGAACGCAGGGAUACAGGAAUGCAGGACUCAGGAACGCAGGAUUCAGGAAGGCCAGAUUCAGGAAGACUGAGCAGACAUGCAGGGACACGGAAGCACGCAGACAGACCCACAACGCACCGACAAGGACAAGUCAGGGAUGUAGGCUUUAAAUUAGGUAGACACAGGUGAGGCACAUUAGGGCACAAACAAGGUAGGAGACCAGGAGGGCAGGUGACUUGACUGGAGAACAACAGGGCAGACAAACACCAAACAGGACCCAAGCACCCCCACAUGGCCGCAUGGGAACAGGGCGUGACAAUGACCCAGGGAAAGCUGAAUGCCUUGGCCAUGCUCUCCAUUGAAAAGAGACUUGUUUGUGAAAUGACAGAUUUCAAUCAGAAAGUCAUUGAUAAAUUUGCUGACCUGAAGGAGAGGAGAGCAAAAUUUAUGUUAAAGUAAAUGUUUUGUUGUGUUGCAAUGCCCGUCUGCUAGUGCGCCCCCCCAAAAUAUUUUAUCACCAGCU